ensembl:rRNA 5S_rRNA 5S ribosomal RNA
GACAGAAGAGAUAAAUGAACAUGCCUGAUCUUGUCUGAUCUCAGAAGCUAAGCAGGUUUGGGCCUGGUUAGUACUUGAAUGGGAGACAGAAGACAUAAGGACCACUGUGC